rnacentral:rRNA from 1 species
GACGAACGCUGGCGGCGUGCUUAACACAUGCAAGUCGAACGGAAAGGCCCUGCUUUUGUGGGGUGCUCGAGUGGCGAACGGGUGAGUAACACGUGAGUAACCUGCCCUUUACUUUGGGAUAACUUCAGGAAACUGGGGCUAAUACCGGAUAGGAGCUCCUGCUGCAUGGUGGGGGUUGGAAAGUUUCGGCGGUUGGGGAUGGACUCGCGGUUUAUCAGCUUGUUGGUGGAGUAGUGGCUUACCAAGGCUUUGACGGGUAGCCGGCCUGAGAGGGUGACCGGCCACAUUGGGACUGUGAUACGGCCCAGACUCCUACAGGAGGCAGCAGUGGGGAAUAUUGCACAAUGGGCGGAAGCCUGAUGCAGCAACGCCGCGUGCGGGAUGACGGCCUUCGGGUUGUAGACCGCUUUCGCCUGUGACGAAGCGUGAGUGACGGUAAUGGGUAAAGAAGCACCGGCUAACUACGUG